rnacentral:rRNA from 1 species
GACGAACGCUGGCGGCGUGCUUAACACAUGCAAGUCGAACGGAAAGGCCCUGCUUUUGUGGGGUGCACGAGUGGCGAACGGGUGAGUAACACGUGAGUAACCUGCCCUUGACUUUGGGAUAAAUUCAGGAAAAUGGGGAUAAUACCGGAUAGGAGCUCCUGCUGCCUGGUGGGGGUUGGAAAGGUUCGGCGGGUGGGGAUGGGCUGGUGGGUGAGCAGCUUGUUGGUGGGGUAGUGGCGUACCAAGGCUUUGAUGGGUAGCCGGCCUGAGAGGGUGACCGGGCACCUGGGGACUGAGCUACGGCCCAGACUCCUAGGGGAUGCAGCGGUGGGGAGUAUACCCCAAUGGGGGGACGCCUGGUGCGGCAAGGCCGCGUUCGGGAUGACGGGCUUCGUGGUAUAAACCGCUUUGGACUUAGACAAAGCGUGAGUGACGGUAAUGGAUAAGAAAGCACCGGCUAACUACGUG